rnacentral:rRNA from 1 species
UACAUGUGGGGCAAGCGUUGUUCGGAAUUACUGGGCAUAAAGGGUGCGUAGGCGGCUUGUUAAGUCAGGGGUGAAAGUUUUCGGCCCAACCGGAAAAUUGCCUUUGAUACUGGCGAGCUCGAGUGCGUGAGGGGUAACCGGAACGAGCAGUGUAGCGGUGAAAUGCGUAGAUAUUGGGAAGAACACCGAUGGCGAAGGCAGCCAUCUGGACCGACACUGACGCUGAGGCGCGAAAGCGUGGGGAGCAAACAGG